AUUCCAGCUCCAAUAGCGUAUAUUUAAGUUGUUGCAGUUAAAAAGCUCGUAGUUGGAUUUCGGGUGAGGAUGACCGGUCUGCCGUUGCGGUACGCACUGGACGUUUUCAUCUUGUUGUCGGGGACGCGCUUCUGGGCUUCACUGUUCGGGACGCGGAGUCGGCGCUGUUACUUUGAAAAAAUUAGAGUGUUCAAAGCAGGCAAUCGCUCUGAAUACAUUAGCAUGGAAUAACGCUAUAGGACUCUGGUCCUAUUGUGUUGGUCUUCGGGACCGGAGUAAUGAUUAAGAGGGACAGUUGGGGGCAUUCGUAUUUCAUUGUCAGAGGUGAAAUUCUCGGAUUUAUGAAAGACGAACUUCUGCGAAAGCAUUUGCCAAGGAUGUUUUCAUUA
rnacentral:rRNA from 1 species